UACGUAGGGUGCGAGCGUUAAUCGGAAUUACUGGGCGUAAAGCGUGCGCAGGCGGUGCUGUAAGACCGAUGUGAAAUCCCCGGGCUUAACCUGGGAACUGCAUUGGUGACUGCAGCGCUGGAGUAUGGCAGAGGGGGGUGGAAUUCCACGUGUAGCAGUGAAAUGCGUAGAGAUGUGGAGGAACACCGAUGGCGGAAGGCAGCCCCCUGGGCCAACUACUGACGCUCAUGCACGAAAGCGUGGGGAGCAAACAGG
rnacentral:rRNA from 1 species